rnacentral:tRNA from 1 species
GCGGAAGUGGCUCAGUGGUAGAGCAUCGCCUUGCCAAGGCGAGGGUCGCGGGUUCGAAUCCCGUCUUCCUCU